CAGGUGCUUGCUGAGGGAAAUGUAGCAUACCAGCAUGGUGCACACAGCACAGGUGCAUGCUUAGGGUAACACAGCAUACAAACCUCGGGCACACAGCACAGGUGCUUGCUUAGGGUAACAGCAUACUAACUUCGGGCACACAGCACAGGUGCAUGCUUAGGGUAACAUAGCAUACUAACCUCGGGCACACAGCACAGGUGCUUGCUUAGGGUAACACAGCAUACUAACCUCGGGCACACAGCACAGGUGCUUGCUUAGGGUAACAGCAUACUAACUUCGGGCACACAGCACAGGUGCUUGGUUAGGGUAACACAGCAUACUAACCUCGGGCACACAGUACAGGUGCUUGCUUAGGAUAACAGCAUACUAACCUUGGGCACACAGCACAGGUGCUUGCUUAGGGUAACAGCAUACUAACUUGGGGCACACAGCACAGGUGCUUGCUUAGGGUAACAGCAUACUAACUUUGGGCACACAGCACAGGUGCUUGCUUCUGGUAACACAGCAUACUAACCUUUUUGGCACACAGCACAGGUGCUUGCUUAGGGUAACAGCAUACUAACUUCGGGCACACAGCACAGGUGCUUGCUUAGGGUAACAGCAUACUAACUUGGGGCACACAGCACAGGUGCUUGGUUAGGGUAACACAGCAUACUAACUUGGGGCACACAGCACCGUUGCUUGCUUCUGUUAACACAGCAUAAAAAUUGUGAGUUCCCAAGUUUUGCUUCAAGGCAGGUAAACGGCAACAUCAGAUUGUCUUGAUGAGCAAGUUCCUUUCUUCAUUGCCCACAGCACAGAUCAGAAAAAACACAGCACAAGUACUUGCAUUGGGGCAUAAAUCACAGUGGCACACAGGCGCGUAGCAAGCCAAUUUUUUUGUGUAAGCCUGAUAGGUUGCACCUAAAAGCCCUCAGAAUGACUACAGAAUGAAGUAACGCUUACGUUUUCGUUGUACAUACCUGCAUUUCAGUUAUGAUUCACAUAUAAUUACGACUGUAGCAAAACAUUCACAUACAUGUCGAUGGAAAAACAAUCAUCACUGAAAGAAAAACACUUCAAAUUUAUAUACGAAGAAUGACACUGACUGACUGACUGAGUAUGGUUUUACGCCGUUUUUAGCAAUAUUCCAGCAAUAUCACGGCGGAGGACACCAGAAAUGGGCUUCAC